ACGGAGGAUCCAAGCGUUAUCCGGAUUUACUGGGUUUAAAGGGUGCGUAGGCGGAUUGAUAAGUCAGUGGUGAAAGCCUACAGCUUAACUGUAGAACUGCCAUUGAUACUGCCAGUCUGGAGUAUGGUUGAGGUAGCUGGAAUGUGUCAUGUAGCGGUGAAAUGCGUAGAGAUGAGGCGGAACACCAGAGGCGAAGGCAGCAUACUGGGCCAUAACUGACGCGGAGGCGCGAAAGCGUGGGGAUCAAACAG
rnacentral:rRNA from 1 species